AGCUUUGCGCAGUGGCAGUAUCGUAGCCAAUGAGGUUUAUCCGAGGCACAAUUAUUGCUAAUUGAAAACUUUUCCCAAAUAACAAAUAAAAAAGCAGGAGUGCUUUAUUGCAUGUACAUUAUACCACAAUGAAGUUGAUU
ensembl:snRNA U4 U4 spliceosomal RNA